UAAACUUUCAAAUUUCAAAAUUAUUUUCAAAAUAUAAAACCAAACAAAUUAAAAAAAAAUUUAAACUUUCUUCUCAAACUUUUUUUUUUGAAAAUUUAUCUCAACAAGAUUAACCAAACGCACACUUUUAUCUUCCAGUUAAUUUUUGUUUUAUUAUUGAAUAUGUUUAAUCCAAAAUCGAUGUCGUUUUGGAGUCAUCUCUCUAACCCAAGUCUCUUCUCGAGUGUGAAAGCUUCCAGCAAAGGACCUCUGCAAACAAAAGGCAUCGUCGUCAAUACAUGCUCUACAAUCCCAGAUUCAAAUCUUGAUUAUGGAAAAUGGACAUCAUAAUAAUGUUAUGAGAUUUAGGGAGUGGCUCCAUCAUCCCAGUCGAACUUUUGCUGAUAUUUGGGAUGUUUAUGGUAACAGAGUUAUCGGACUCAGUGAAUCAUUGAUUGAACUAUUCAAUGGAGUUAUUGAAAUGUUGAAUGAUAUUCACGAAAGGAGUGUUUUUAAUGGUAAUCUGUUGGAAAAUUUAAGGAUUAGUAGUAUAACAGUUGGGUUAAGGUUAACUUGGAAAGUAGAGUUCGUUAACAACCCUCCCCCAAAUCUUAUUGACCCGAUCAAAGGGAUUAUAGCUGAUGUUCAACACUUGAGAUACAUGGUUUAUUCAGUUAAGUUUCGGUUUCCUUUAAAUGUUCCCUAUCUCUAUCCUGAUGCCUGGCUUCUCUAUCUUAAACCAUUAUAUGGGUUUGACCAACCCUAUGCUGUUAAUGGUUUUGACCAACGCCAUGAGUACGACUCUUGUCUUCGGUAUGUCAAGAAAGUUGCAUUUUACAAUUAUUCUCAUCCGCUUUUUUUCGACAAAGUGAAAAUGGCGCACUUCAUUUAUAAGGUUUAUGAAAUACGAAAGAGGAAUCCACAAAUGUUCAACCGUCUGGUUCGUUUAGAUCAAACCACCCCUCUCACUAACAUGACUGAUUGGCUGGCUGCAAUUCCAAUUAAUCCUUUUUUACCAGAUGGGGAUAUCAAUCAGCCGCCCCUGCGACAAGUUCUGUAUGACCGAGCACUGUAUGACAGCCAAGGACAACCACUUUUUCGGGAUAAUUAUCAAUUUCCCAAUGACGUUGUAACGUAUUUGAGGACCGUCUGCGAGCAUGCAAGGGAUAUCAAUCGUGAUGUUUGGUCUGGAAAAAUUCUCAAGGAGCUUCACCAAGUUCUGCCUGACGCCUUGCCCAAGAUACAUUUUCUACUGUGUUCUAAAUUCGACGAUCAGAUUUGCUUAACUCAUUUUAGUGCUAACCAUAUGGUGAAAUUGAUGAGGCACGGUCCUUUUGGCUACAAGGGACUCAAGCUUUGAAUUGAGAAUUGCAUCGAAUGAAUAGAUUCAGAAAGAACACAAGCAUUGACUUCCAUAGCAAUUUCUUCAAUCCAACCUCUCGUCUCUUCUUCACGCUGUGCCAAUCGAGCAAGUUAUGGCAUGGAUCACAGUGAUUGCAAGAGAGGUUCGAAGAUGGAGACCUAUGAAAGACAUGAGGAGAAGAGCUAAUUCUUACGGAAAAUGGAGACCUAUGAAAGACAUGAGGAGAAGAGCUAAUUCUUACAAAAAAUGGAGACCUAUGAAAGACAUAAGGAGAAAAGCUAAUUCUUACGGAAAAUUCAUAUAGAACGAUGUGGCAGUGACUUUAUCGCAAUUAAUUGUCAUUUUGGUUUUUUUUUUUUUUUUUGAAGUGAUAGUCUUGCAAUUCAGCUGUAUAAGAUAUAAGAUUUUUGUAUAUAUUUUUAUGUUUGUAUGUAUAUAUAUAUAUACAAGAAAGGGAAAAACAUUACACUUGCACAACAUGACUCUUGUAUCUCUCUCACACUAAAAAAGGGAAAAAAAAAAUCACUCUUGUAUAGGGUUAUAUAUUUUGGAUGUUUAGUUGUUUAUAGGAAUUUUUUUUUCUUUAUUCGAAUAUAGAGAUUAAUAUUUAAGACAAUUUUUUAAUA